UGGUUAUCUACAUCCAAACAACCCCUUAACAUGAAACUCCCAAUCAAUCUUGAAAUAGUCCAUCAAAAAUAAAAUUAAAACUUAAAUCACUCGCCCAAAACUCAGCAUCCAAACACAGCAUCCAAACACUCAGAUCAAGGCCCCGUCUCUCUCUCUCUCUCUGAAAACAGAGAUUUUCUCUGUCCAGCUUCUGUAUCACUCUCUCUCCAUGGCCACCACACUGUUCUCAAACUUCAAAUACUCCGACAGCCUCACCGUUGUCGGAAUCUCCGUUUGCACCGCCGUGGUCUGCGAAGCCAUCUCGUGGCUUCUCAUCUACCGAACCUCUUCUUACAAAUCCCUCAAGUCCUCCAUUGACAAAGCCUCCAAGAAGCUCGAGACCAUGAAGACCGACUCAAACCCAACAAAACUCACCGUCAAAAAAUCCAAAACCAAGAAGAUCGAUCGCGUCGAGACCAGUCUCAAGGAAUCGAGUCGCGAUCUCUCUCUCUUCAAAUUCAAGUCAGGCGCUGUGGUUGCUUUGGUCCUGUUCGUCGUGUUUGGAUUGCUCAAUUCGUUGUUCGAAGGCAAGGCCGUCGCGAAAUUGCCCUUUGUGCCCGCUCGAAUCGUGCAGAAGAUGAGCCACAGAGGUUUGCAAGGGGACGAUAUGACGGAUUGUUCGAUGGCAUUUUUGUAUUUCUUGUGUUCGAUCAGCAUUCGCACCAAUUUGCAGAAGUUCUUAGGGUUUUCGCCGCCGCGAGGGGCCGCCGGUGCGGGGUUGUUUCCAAUGCCGGAUCCAAAAAGCAAUUGAUCAAUUCGGAAUAGACCUUUUCUUUCUAUAGUUGGACUGCUUUAAAGCUUGGAUACCUCUCCAGACUUGUUGUUGCACUUGUCUUCGCCCUGUCUGCAUUGCGAUGUCCUAGGUUCAGAGGUUCAUUUACUUGGCAUUUUGGUUGUUUUGCACUAGUAGCUGCUCUGCAUCAACAUUGAGACCAUUUUGCUGUGACGAUCCUUUUAUACGAUAUGCAGUGUCUUGAUAAACAUUCAAAUACUGAUAUUUUGCUAUGACGAUCCUUUUAUGUGCUAUUCUUUCUUUUUGUUCUCUUAAUGAUAUGGUUUAUCUAGAUUGCAAAA